UUACUUGUAUGUGCAGUUUUCAGGACUGACCAUUCAGUAGUGGAUAAACAUUUGGUACACUCUUCCCUGGGAAAGACUACCUCGUCUUCUCUCAGAAUUCCUUAAUACAUGUAGUUCUUUGUCUAGGAUUGGGUGUCAUGAGCUUUUCCAUGAGAACACAUCUAUUGGUGUUGUCCUUCUUCAGGUCAUUUGAAGACAAUAAUGUUGAUGAGUGUUUUGGGGUGUAGCCUCUCUAAUAUUUUUAGGAGACACAAUCUCACAGCAAACUUCUUCUUUCUCUGGCUCUUACAAGCUUUCCAUCUUAAGUUUUCAAAGGAGGGAAGCACCCAAUAGUCCUACCCAGAUGAGGAACUUAUAACCACAAUAAUGACCAGUGUAGCACAGUAAUCCAAAGGGUGCGAUAGUGGUGCACAUGCAUUGGUGGUAACCAACAGCUCUCUAACUGGACCUAUGGCCAGCUCAGCAAGAGGAAAAUUAUCCUCGAACUGGACAUUUAGCCAACUUCCUGCGGCUAGUGAGAUUACCAGUCUUGGAGGAGAACCUAUAACCAUUAAUUUACUGAACCAGAAUAAUCUCUAGCUACAUUCAAAAUAUUUAUCCUUAUACUCACAAAUAAGCAUGGUUUUUACCUCUUACGAAGAAACUUCUGUUUUUUAACA
rnacentral:lncRNA from 1 species